AGCAAACGCUGGCGGCGUGCCUAAUACAUGCAAGUCGAACGAGGAAGUUCCUUCGGGAAUUGUACGAGUGGCGCACGGGUGAGUAACACGUGGGUAAUCUGCCUUCGAGAGGGGAAUAACCAGUCGAAAGAUUGGCUAAUACCGCAUAAGACCACAAGUUCUACGGAACUAGGGGUUAAAGGUUUUUCGCUCGAAGAUGAGCCUGCGUCCCAUUAGCUAGUUGGCGGGGUAAUGGCCCACCAAGGCGACGAUGGGUAGCUGGUCUGAGAGGAUGACCAGUCACACUGGGACUGAGACACGGCCCAGACUCCUACGGGAGGCAGCAGUAGGGAAUAUUGCACAAUGGACGCAAGUCUGAUGCAGCGACGCCGCGUGAGUGAUGAAGGCUUUAGGGCUGUAAAGCUCUGUUCUCAGGGAAUAAAAAAAUGAAGGUACCUGAGGGGAAAGGACCGGCUAACUUCGUGCCAGCCGCCGCCGUAA
rnacentral:rRNA from 1 species